rnacentral:rRNA from 1 species
AUUGAACGCUGGCGGCAGGCCUAACACAUGCAAGUCGAAUGGUAACAGGAAACAGCUUGCUGUUUCGCUGACGAGUGGCGGACGGGUGAGUAAUGUCUGGGAAACUGCCUGAUGGAGGGGGAUAACUACUGGAAACGGUAGCUAAUACCGCAUAACGUCGCAAGACCAAAGAGGGGGACCUUCGGGCCUCUUGCCAUCAGAUGUGCCCAGAUGGGAUUAGCUAGUAGGUGGGGUAACGACUCACCUAGGCGACGAUCCCUAGCUGGUCUGAGAGGAUGACCAGCCACACUGGAACUGAGACACGGUCCAGACUCCUACGGGAGGCAGCAGUGGGGAAUAUUGCACAAAGGGCGCAAGCCUGAUGCAGCCAUGCCGCGUGUAUGAAGAAGGCCUUCGGGUUGUAAAGUACUUUCAGCGGGGAGGAAGGGAGUAAAGUUAAUACCUUUGCUCAUUGACGUUACCCGCAGAAGAAGCACCGGCUAACUCCGUG